rnacentral:tRNA from 1 species
GCUUCCUUAGCGUAGUUGGCAGCGCGUUAGUUCUAUAAGCUGAAGGCCGUGAGUUCGAACCUCACAGGAAGCA